rnacentral:misc_RNA from 1 species
GUGAUGAAGUUUUUGUUUACUUUUCCAGCAACAAUAAAACUCGCGCAAACCACCCCCACCCCCACAAAUCGCGCGACUUCAGCAGCAGUGUGAGUGUUUACGUUUCGUUCCACCACCCUCUUUCGCGAGCUCCCGUUUGUGGUGUUUUAUUGUGUCGCGCGUAAAUUUAGCCGCAGUGGGUGCGCAAAAAUAGAACCAAAAACACUUUAAUUCGUUUUGGCGGACGGUUUGAUGGCAGCAGAACACACGGAAAUGGCCGCCCCAGUCCCGUCCGGUAGCAGAACCAUCACGGAACAGAUUCCCGCCAGCAGCAGCGGUGGCGACAGUAGCAGCAGUCAGAGACGGAAGCUGAGAGGCUGUUCAGGCCGGGAGCUGCUACGACGGUUGGAGGAAAGAGCUCAGGCCGCAGAAAAUCCGGUAGUUUUGAAAAACUGCGGCACCAUCGGCCAAGAGCAAAACGACGAAGAAUUUGAACCCCGUGGAUGCUCUGGCCCCACUUGCGAGGGGUCGAAGGAAAAGGAGCGCAAACCUGCCGCAGUUGGAUCCGGUAGUGGGGACGCCGGUCAAAUGUCAACGUGCACGUGCGGCAGCAGCCGUGGAAUGUCCUCGAGGAACCAGUACCGACGGAAGGAGGAUCAAGCUAUUCCACCGCCAUCAAGCCCUCUCCGUUCUCGUCCAGAUUGAGACAGAUGGCGUUCACGUCGACGUCGAUGGCCUGUGUGACGGAGGGUGAAAGCGACGGGGAUAACGAUACGCCGAAGCAUCAUGCUGUAAAGUACGAUCCUCAGGAUCGUCCUCGCACUACUGCAGUGGCCACAAGCAGGAAUCGUCCGGCAUCAUUCGCGUCCGCAGCAGGCAUGAGCAUGAUGGAAAGUAGCGGCAGCAAGUCGGAAGCAACCGAAGUAGCCGCCCCACCUCACGCUCACGCCAAGAACACGCCAACCUGCGUUGCGGGAGGAAAUUCGUCAUCUUCGUCGUGGGAAGCAGCGGUCUACCUCUACCCAGCUACACGUUUCGGGAAAUUCACCGGGAGUUUUGCUGCCCCGCAGGACGCCACCCAGGGCGGUCGGCCGUAUUUGUGACGCAGGCGCCGUACCAGACGUACAACCGGGUGGUGCCAACGCCGGUCCACAAUGUUUCCAGCAGGCAGAUUCCAACAUCCAGUUUGUUUCGCUAAAUCCGGCCCAGGUUGCCAACAAGCCGCUUCGAUCUGGUCAAGCUAAUGGAGCUGCACGGCGAUGGCAGUGGCAAGAGAUCCGGAGGAUUGACCGGGGCCAUCAAGAAUCACGACGUUUUGGAUUGCCACGGGGAAUACAAACUGUCAGUGCUUUGUUUAUUUAAAAUGGCUAAUAAAAAAAUAGAGGACUGGGGGUCUGGGUUCGGGUGGGGCGUUUUUUUAACAAGGAAUUUAAAUAAAAUUUAUGAAAAAUCAUUGAAUCGUGCAAAAAACAUUAAUCAACCUCUCUGGUUGAAUUCCAAUUAACUUUGGAUUCAAUCGAAACAAAGAAAAAAGAAAACCAACAAGUAAAAACAAGAAGAAGAAGAAGAAGCUGUCAAAACCAACCCAUCAAUUCCGCUUCGAUUCCGUUUCAACUCCACUUAAACCGAUUUGCGGCGAAAACUCAAACGGAACCGGUUGUUGCGUUUGAAACGGAAUGCGGUUUAGAAUCUAAAACGAACACUGUUUAGAAUUCGAAUCGAACUUUUUUCGCUCAAGUGGAAUUCUAAACGGAAUUCAAACGGAACGCGCUGAGUGGGUAGUGCUGCGAACUGACUGCUUGUUUUAAAAGGUUUGACAGUUGUCUGAGGUUAGGAAGAAAGCGAAAACAAGGUAGAAAUUGACAAACCUUUUUCUAGGCAUUCGUCAGCGACGGCUCGAGGUUUUCGCAGAUUCUGUUGUCCACAAUUUCUAUCCAACCCCCUGGUUGCGACGACAGUCUUCAAGCUAUUGAACCCCCCGUUCUUCGGUUGCGCCUCCAGAAGCCCCGCUCGGACAAGAAAGUCCA